rnacentral:snRNA from 1 species
GAUCAAAGUGUAGUAUCUGUUCUUAUCAGCUUAAUAUCUGAUACGUCCUGCAUUGCAGGACCAGAAUAUUAAACUGAUUUUUGGAAAAUGACGGAGUGCUAGGAGCUUGCUCCACCUCUGUCACGGGUUGGC